AUGAGUAAUUUCCUCCUCCCAGUCAUUUGAUGCUGUGUCCACCUGAAGGGCUUUAUAACAUUUCUGUUUAUUUCAUUUUCAGGUCUAAUCUGCACAGGCAGUAUGCUGCUGUUUCCAGUCCUUCUUGCAACUUCAUUUUGGUGCUGCGUAGACACGCAGUCAGUGCCAGUGCAAACCCCGGAGAUGCAGGCGCGGAUGAAGGGCACUUCUGCCAGAAUGUCAUGUCAGCUGGAGGGCAACCACAUUGUACACUGGUACAGGCAGCUUCCCGGAGAGCCGCCAAAGAGGAUCCUGUACGGGUCUGCAGGGACACCUGUUUUUGAGGACAGCAAUGAUAGAAAUAGAUUUCAAGUUCGCAGUGAUCCUGCUCGAUCCAUGCAUAGUAUAGACAUAAAUUCUUUAACCCCACGCGAUUCUGGCACUUAUUACUGUGCAUACUGGAAAUACCACAGAAUUAGUUCGGCAAAGAUAAGCCUUACAAAAAGACUCUCUGUACUCUGAACCGCAAGUUGUGAA